rnacentral:rRNA from 1 species
GAUGAACGCUGGCGGCAUGCCUAACACAUGCAAGUCGAACGAUGCCUUCGGGCAUAGUGGCGCACGGGUGCGUAACGCGUGGGAAUCUGCCCUUGGGUUCGGAAUAACUCAGAGAAAUUUGAGCUAAUACCGGAUGAUGACGUAAGUCCAAAAGAUUUAUCGCCCAAGGGAUGAGCCCCGCGUAAGAUUAGCUAGUUGGUGGGGUAAAGCCUACCAAGGCGACGAUCUUUAGCUGGUCUGAGAGGAUGAUCAGCCACACUGGGACUGAGACACGGCCCAGACUCCUACGGGAGGCAGCAGUGGGGAAUAUUGGACAAUGGGCGAAAGCCUGAUCCAGCAAUGCCGCGUGAGUGA